UCUGAUUGCCAAAGGUGCUAAUCUGAAUACUCAAAAUGCAAAUGGAUGGACCCCCUUGAUGGUUGUUCGUUCAUGGAAUAGAAACUGGCUUGAGGACAUCUUAAAAGAACCUCCAUCAGAGAACUUAGAAGUUCUUCCUUCACUAUAUCUCUCUCUUCCACUUAUGAGCAUUGUCAAAAUUGCUAGAGAAUGUUGAUGGAAGACAA